rnacentral:tRNA from 1 species
UGUUUUAUAGUUUAAUAAAAAUAUUAAUUUUGUAAAUUAAAGAUAUAAAAAAAAUUAUUAAAACAU